AUGUCAUCACAGGAGGGGGAACACAUCAAGUGUGUUAGAAAAGAAGCUACAUACUGGAGUGGAAGAAGGCAUUAACUAUUUCAUAAAGAAAAGGGAUAUAC